CCCCAGACUCCUACGGGAGGCAGCAGUGGGGGAUAUUGCACAAUGGGGGGAACCCUGAUGCAGCGACGCCGCGUGGGUGAAGAAGUAUUUCGGUAUGUAAAGCCCUAUCGGCAGGGAAGAAAUUGGACGGUACCUGACUAAGAAGCCCUGGCUAACUACGUGCCAGCAGCCGCGGUAAUACGUAGGGGGCAAGCGUUAUCCGGAUUCACUGGGUGUAAAGGGAGCGUAGACGGCCAUGCAAGCCUGGAGUGAAAGCCCGGGGCCCAACCCCGGGACUGCUCUGGGAACUGUGCGGCUGGAGUGCGGGAGGGGCAGGCGGAAUUCCUGGUGUAGCGGUGAAAUGCGUAGAUAUUAGGAGGAACACCAGUGGCGAAGGCGGUCUGCUGGACAGCAACUGACGCUGAGGCGCGAAAGCGUGGGGAGCAAACAGGAUUAGAUACCCCCGUA
rnacentral:rRNA from 1 species